AAUGCAGGUUGUUCUAUCGCUGUCUCGAUUUAUCGGGAGAGAGGAAAGUCCGGGCAACGCAGGGCAUCUCGCUUUCUAACGGAAAGGAAUUUAGGAUUGAAAACCUGAAUUACGGAUUAGUGCAACAGAAAAUAUACCACCUGGCGCAAGUUGGGAAAGGGUGAAAACGUGUGGUAAGAGCACACGAGCAUUGCAGGCGACUGCAGUGGUUUGUAAACCCCGGGAGUUGAAAGACCAAAUAGGCUAACGCAUGUAGGGCUGCCCGUCCGAUGUUAGUGGGUAGGUCGUUAGAGGUAAAUGG
rnacentral:RNase_P_RNA from 1 species